rnacentral:lncRNA from 1 species
AAUUCUAAUAGAAUACUAACAAUACUCUAAUUAGACUAUAAUAAUGUUAAGCAAGCUUAAUCAAAUUCAAAAAAACCUCAAAGAAAUUUCAAACAAACAAUAGGAAUUUUGAAAGAAACAUUAAAAAGAACACAAAUGUCAUUCAAAUACAUCUCAAUUCAAUCUUAAUUUAAUUCUAGUUAAAAUCCUAUUGAACUUCAUUCAAACUUUAAGCCAAACUAAUUGAAUUUUAAAUCCUAAUAAAAUCCUAAAUCCUAAAUCAAACCCUUACGAAAUUCUAAAUCAAACCCUAAUCUAAACCCUAAAUCCUAAAUCAAACCCUAACCAAAUCCUAAAUCCUAAAUCAAACCUAAACCAAACCCUAAACCAAAUCCUAAACUAAAUCCUAAUCAAACCCUAAUCCAAAUCCUAAUUCGAAUCCUAAACCCUAAACCAAACCCUAAUCAAAUCCUAAACCCUAAAUCAAAUCCCAAUCCAAAU